rnacentral:rRNA from 1 species
GAACGAACGCUGUCCGCGUGCCUAAGAAAGCAAGUCGAGCGGACAUGUUUGGAGCUUGCUUCAGACUUGUCCGCAGCGGACGGGUAAGUAACACGUAAGCCACCUGCGCCCCAGACCGGGAUAACGUAAGGAAACUUACGCUAAUACAGGAUAGGGCACCUUCUCGCAUGAGAGGGUGCGGAAAGGUGGCGCAUGCUACCACUUGCAGAUGGGCCUGCAGCACAUUAUCUAGUUGGUGGGGUAACAGCCUAGCAACGAUACGAUGCGUAUCCGACCUGAGAAGGUGACCCGCCACACUGGGACUGAGACACGGCCCCCACUCCUACGGGAGGCAGCAGUGGG